rnacentral:rRNA from 1 species
ACACAUGCAAGUCGAGCGGUAGCACAGAGAGCUUGCUCUCGGGUGACGAGCGGCGGACGGGUGAGUAAUGUCUGGGAAACUGCCUGAUGGAGGGGGAUAACUACUGGAAACGGUAGCUAAUACCGCAUAACGUCGCAAGACCAAAGUGGGGGACCUUCGGGCCUCAUGCCAUCAGAUGUGCCCAGAUGGGAUUAGCUAGUAGGUGGGGUAACGGCUCACCUAGGCGACGAUCCCUAGCUGGUCUGAGAGGAUGACCAGCCACACUGGAACUGAGACACGGUCCAGACUCCUACGGGAGGCAGCAGUGGGGAAUAUUGCACAAUGGGCGCAAGCCUGAUGCAGCCAUGCCGCGUGUGUGAAGAAGGCCUUCGGGUUGUAAAGCACUUUCAGCGGGGAGGAAGGCGUUAAGGUUAAUAACCUUGUCGAUUGACGUUACCCGCAGAAGAAGCACCGGCUAACUCCGUGCCAGCAGCCGCGGUAAUACGGAGGGUGCAAGCGUUAAUCGGAAUUACUGGGCGUAAAGCGCACGCAGGCGGUCUGUCAAGUCGGAUGUGAAAUCCCCGGGCUCAACCUGGGAACUGCAUUCGAAACUGGCAGGCUAGAGUCUUGUAGAGGGGGGUAGAAUUCCAGGUGUAGCGGUGAAAUGCGUAGAGAUCUGGAGGAAUACCGGUGGCGAAGGCGGCCCCCUGGACAAAGACUGACGCUCAGGUGCGAAAGCGUGGGGAGCAAACAGGAUUAGAUACCCUGGUAGUCCACGCCGUAAACGAUGUCGAUUUGGAGGUUGUGCCCUUGAGGCGUGGCUUCCGGAGCUAACGCGUUAAAUCGACCGCCUGGGGAGUACGGCCGCAAGGUUAAAACUCAAAUGAAUUGACGGGGGCCCGCACAAGCGGUGGAGCAUGUGGUUUAAUUCGAUGCAACGCGAAGAACCUUACCUGGUCUUGACAUCCACAGAACUUUCCAGAGAUGGAUUGGUGCCUUCGGGAACUGUGAGACAGGUGCUGCAUGGCUGUCGUCAGCUCGUGUUGUGAAAUGUUGGGGUUAAGUCCCGCAACGAGCGCAACCCUUAUCCUUUGUUGCCAGCGGUUNGGCCGGGGAACUCAAA